AGUGGAGCCUGCGGCUUAAUUUGACUCAACACGGGAAACCUCACCAGGCCCGGACACCGGAAGGAUUGACAGAUUGAGAGCUCUUUCUUGAUUCGGUGGGUGGUGGUGCAUGGCCGUUCUUAGUUGGUGGAGCGAUUUGUCUGGUUAAUUCCGAUAACGAACGAGACUCUAGCCUGCUAACUAGGCGUAUUUCGACAUCCCAAAGGCCCGCCGGUUUGAGGCUCCGGCCUCUUGCCGCGCGCGGUUUUUACUGUCGGCGUACAAACAAUUCUUCUUAGAGGGACAGGCGGCUUCUAGCCGCACGAGAUUGAGCAAUAACAGGUCUGUGAUGCCCUUAGAUGUUCUGGGCCG
rnacentral:rRNA from 1 species